GCCUCCUGUACUGACUGACAGAACCCUGAAGAAAUGUACAGGUGUCUGCAGUUCUGUGUAACUAACUCAAGCAUUACAAAGAGGCAUGGUGGACUCUGACCCUAGACCUAGCCCAGGUGGGGAGGACUCAGGAAUGUUUUCCCGCCUGGCACGUACCUUCAAGGUUUCCUCGAAAGUCGGGUCCAGCGUGUUCUUUUGGACUCGUGUCUUGCGUUUUCCCUGAGAAGACCUGUCAGGCAGCAGCUUCAAAGACCCUCAUUCCAGGGACCCCCAUACCCAACUGGGGUGGUCCAUGGCAGCUGGCACCCGAACGUGGGACUCGAAGCAGGUGUGCCAAAAAGAAUUAAAACUGAUAAUGGUCCAGCUUAUACUUCUCAAGCAAAGUUUUGCAUUCAAUGGGGCAUAGAACAUACAACAGAAACUCCAUACAACCCCCAAGAUCAGGCUAUCAUAGAAGACUCAUCAAAAUCUUAAGGUACAACUUCAGAGAUUAAGAUCUAGUGCUCAUUACUACUCGCCUCAUCAAUUACUAAGCCAGGCUUCAUUUACCAUUAAUCACCGUAAUACAGGUGAUAAAGGCUUUACCCCUAUGCAAAGGCAUUGGGCUCCCCUACAGCAGACUGUUACUCGUUUAGUGAUGUGGAAGGAUCUUUUAACAGGCGCAUGGGAAGGGCCAGAUGUGUUCAUCACCUGGGGAAGAGGAUACGCAUGUGUUUUCCACAGAAUGCAGAGACCCCAAUCUGCAUCCCAGGCAGACUUAUUGACCUUCCACCAGAAAACCUCUACCAGAACCCAGAAGCAAAAGAAGGCAAAAGAAGUCAUGAAGAAAAUGAAGAAGCUUGAUCUCUUCUUCACAGGCGGCUUCGGCUCCUCCUGAACGGUCAUCGACCACGGGAUAGAUCCACCCACUUGGGGACAACUGGAGAAACUCACCCAGAGAGCACAACAAAUAAUCUCUAAUAUCGGGAAACCACCACCAGUAGAAAAUAUGCUAUGCUUGCUGAGGUUGCUAUGCAGGUCACCCUUCCCCACUUAUUGGCUGUAGCGCCAUUGGAUAUUGAAUGCUCCUGAGUUUCAGCGCCUCUGCUGGAACUGAACUGCCGCGUGAGUAUACUUGGAGGUGGAGCCUUUGGGAUGUGGUUAUGUUUGAGAGUGGCCCUCGUGGAGUGGGAUUUGUGUUCUUAUAAAGGAGUCCUCAAAGAGCAGCUCUUCCCCCUUUCUCCCAUGGAUUGCUGGCACAGAUGUCCAUCUAUGAACCAGGGAGGUGGUCCUUACCAGAUACCAGCUUUGUCAGCACCUGGACUUCCCAGCAUCCAAAAUGGUGAAGAUAAAUGUCUGCGGCUUCAGUCUCCAGCCUUCUGUUACAGCAACUCAAAUGCUCUAAAACACUCCUUGAGCAUCAGUGGCGGUUUGAAUAUGCUUGGCCCAAGGAGUGGCACUAUUAAGAGGUGUAGUCUUGUUGGAGUAGCUGUGUCAC